CACGCCCUAAACGAUGUCAACUAGUUGUUGGGGAUUCAUUUCCUUAGUAACGUAGCUAACGCGUGAAGUUGACCGCCUGGGGAGUACGGUCGCAAGAUUAAAACUCAAAGGAAUUGACGGGGACCCGCACAAGCGGUGGAUGAUGUGGAUUAAUUCGAUGCAACGCGAAAAACCUUACCUACCCUUGACAUGCCACUAACGAAGCAGAGAUGCAUUAGGUGCUCGAAAGAGAAAGUGGACACAGGUGC
rnacentral:rRNA from 2 species